rnacentral:rRNA from 1 species
GAUGAACGCUGGCGGUAUGCUUAACACAUGCAAGUCGAACGGACUCUUCGGAGUUAGUGGCGGACGGGUGAGUAACGCGUGAGAAUCUAGCUCUAGGUCGGGGACAACCACUGGAAACGGUGGCUAAUACCGGAUGUGCCGGAAGGUGAAAGAUUUAUUGCCUAGAGAUGAGCUCGCGUCUGAUUAGCUAGUAGGUGUGGUAAGAGCGCACCUAGGCGACGAUCAGUAGCUGGCCUGAGAGGAUGAUCAGCCACACUGGGACUGAGACACGGCCCAGACUCCUACGGGAGGCAGCAGUGGGGAAUUUUCCGCAAUGGGCGAAAGCCUGACGGAGCAAUACCGCGUGAGGGAGGAAGGCUCUUGGGUUGUAAACCUCUUUUCUCAGGGAAGAAAAAAAUGACGGUACCUGAGGAAUAAGCAUCGGCUAACUCCGUGCCAGCAGCCGCGGUAAUACGGAGGAUGCAAGCGUUAUCCGGAAUGAUUGGGCGUAAAGCGUCCGCAGGUGGCUAUGUAAGUCUGCUGUUAAAGAGUGAGGCUCAACCUCAUAAGAGCAGUGGAAACUACAUAGCUAGAGUGCGUUCGGGGCAGAGGGAAUUCCUGGUGUAGCGGAGAAAUGCGUAGAGAUCAGGAAGAACACCGGUGGCGAAAGCGCUCUGCUAGGCCGCAACUGACACUGAGGGACGAAAGCUAGGGGAGCGAAUGGGAUUAGAUACCCCAGUAGUCCUAGCCGUAAACGAUGGAUACUAGGCGUGGCUUGUAUCGACCCGAGCCGUGCCGGAGCUAACGCGUUAAGUAUCCCGCCUGGGGAGUACGCACGCAAGUGUGAAACUCAAAGGAAUUGACGGGGGCCCGCACAAGCGGUGGAGUAUGUGGUUUAAUUCGAUGCAACGCGAAGAACCUUACCAAGACUUGACAUGUCGCGAACCUUUGUGAAAGCAGAGGGUGCCUUCGGGAGCGCGAACACAGGUGGUGCAUGGCUGUCGUCAGCUCGUGUCGUGAGAUGUUGGGUUAAGUCCCGCAACGAGCGCAACCCUCGUUUUUAGUUGCCAGCAUUAAGUUGGGCACUCUAGAGAGACUGCCGGUGACAAACCGGAGGAAGGUGGGGAUGACGUCAAGUCAGCAUGCCCCUUACGUCUUGGGCUACACACGUACUACAAUGCUACGGACAAAGGGCAGCGAGCUAGUGAUAGCAAGCAAAUCUCAUAAACCGUGGCUCAGUUCAGAUCGCAGGCUGCAACUCGCCUGCGUGAAGGAGGAAUCGCUAGUAAUUGCAGGUCAGCAUACUGCAGUGAAUUCGUUCCCGGGCCUUGUACACACCGCCCGUCACACCAUGGAAGCUGGCAACGCCCGAAGUCAUUACUCCAACCCUCGGGGGGAGGAUGCCGAAGGCAGUGCUGGUGACUGGGGUGAAGUCGUAACAAGGUAGCCGUACCGGAAGGUGUGGCUGGAUCACCUCCUUUUAGGGAGACCUACCCAACUUUGAAUAUCGUUGACAAACAGUCAUCACAGACAAAGAUGGUCUACUCUAGGUCGGUCGCAGGUAUUGUUGUGGGCUUUCAAACUAUAAAGAGGUUCUUAAUUAUGGGCUAUUAGCUCAGGUGGUUAGAGCGCACCCCUGAUAAGGGUGAGGUCCCUGGUUCGAGUCCAGGAUGGCCCACCUGAACAAGUAAAAAGAGAAAAGUAAAAAGUAAAAAGAAAAUAUUAAUUCUUUUGGCUUUUUCUUUUUAAAUUUUGCCUUGUGAAUGGGGGUUUAGCUCAGUUGGUAGAGCGCCUGCUUUGCAAGCAGGAUGUCAGCGGUUCGAGUCCGCUAACCUCCACAUACUCUCGAAGGUGACAGUAACAAAAGUAAGAAAAAUAUUAAGUUGCUUUUGUGAAGCUAGUAGAGAAUGUGGUAAAAUGCAAGAUUGUGAAUAAAUUCAGCAAUUGACCUAUAGAUGUCAAACUGCUGGAGAGAUUCCAGCCAGAACCUUGAAAACUGCAUAGUAACGCGAUAAAUAGCAGGCAGACACAGACAUGAAUAAUGUUGGUGGAUGCAAGUUGGAAAACCAAUGGAAUUGUGGUCAAGCUAAUAAGGGCUGAUGGUGGAU